rnacentral:rRNA from 1 species
UACGUAGGGGGCAAGCGUUGUCCGGAAUCAUUGGGCGUAAAGCGCGUGUAGGCGGUUCGGUAAGUCGGCUGUGAAAGUCCAGGGCUCAACCCUGGGAUGCCGGUCGAUACUGCCGGACUAGAGUUCGGAAGAGGCGAGUGGAAUUCCCGGUGUAGCGGUGAAAUGCGCAGAUAUCGGGAGGAACACCAAUGGCGAAGGCAGCUCGCUGGGACGUUACUGACGCUGAGACGCGAAAGCGUGGGGAGCAAACAG